CCUCACUCACACAGGUGUCCCCCAGUGCCACACGUGUCCCUCACUCACAGGUGUCCCCAGCCCCACAAAUGUUCCCCCGCUGUCACAAGCGUGUUCUUUGC